AAAUAGCCCGCGCCAGCCUAUUCUUAACCUACAAAGCUCUUUCUUUAUCCGUUAAAGCAACAACCUUCCAUUUGCCUCCCUGUCCUUCACCUCAAUUUCGUUCUGUCUAUAUAUCUAUCUAAGAUUUAUUUUAGGGCAUGAUUUUGAGAUUUUGUUAAUAACCCAAUUCUCUAAUUGGGAUAACAAAUCACCAGGCUUAAUUCGAUCGGUAGUGUUGUCUCUUUUAGAAAUAUCAGACCUUUUCUUUUUCUUUUUUCUUUUCGUGUUUUAUCUCAGAAAAUCUUAUAGAUUUUCUGCAAAGCUAGCUCUUGAAAGAUGGUAAUUUGUGAUCUUGUAUCUCGCACGGGAAGAGAGUCGCAAAGAUACAACAACUUGGGUUGCCGACAAGUUGCAGGAUGCAUUCCAUACAGAUACAAAGAUGGUAGUGAUGGUAGCAAUAUUAGCAAUGAAUUAGAAGUACUUGUGAUUAGUUCACAGAAUGGUCAAGGAUUGACAUUCCCCAAGGGUGGUUGGGAACUCGACGAAUCAGUGGAAGAAGCAGCUUCCCGUGAGUCUCUUGAAGAGGCCGGGGUUCGUGGCAAUGUCGAGUAUGAAUUGGGAAAAUGGAGCUUCAUUAGCAAACGCUAUGGCACAUGCUAUGAAGGCUACAUGUUCGCUUUACUAGUCCAAGAGCAACUUGAUCUAUGGCCGGAGAAGAAUAUCCGCAGGAGAAUAUGGAUGACGGCGGCUGAAGCAAGAGAAGUUUGUCAGCAUGGGUGGAUGAAGGAAGCCUUGGACAAAUUGGUUGAAAGGCUUACAUCUCCACAGCAGCGGAAGGAAGAAGAUUUUGAUGAUCAGCUCCCAUCUUAAUACUAAAGUUGUUCUGUACAUAAUGUUGUUUUUUAUUUUUUACGUGGACUAGCUGCUAGCGUACGUACGUAGUUAAUUAUUUAUUGCAUGUGUGUUCAUAAAGGAUGAGCCAUUUUUUUGUGGACGUACGUAUGAGGAAGCCCCCGGCCUACUCUAGUACUCCCCCAAAAAAAAAAAGAAAAAGAAAAGAUAUUGGCUUAUUUGAGUACUAGUUGAUCUAGUACUACGACUACUUGGUGCAUGCCCUGUGAAGGGAGAGCUCAGUACUACGUAAUCAUGAUGAUCACGGCCAAUACACGCAAGAUACAUGCCUGCCUUUAAUUAUCUUCAUUUAGCUAGCCAUCAAGAUAGCUAGGGAUCGAUAAUGAAGCUGGCCAUAAACACGUACGUACAUGAUUAACGGAUGGAGUACUCAUGUUCAUUCCUCAACAAUAAUUGGAGAUCAUCAUAUGCUGCUUGACUAUAUGAGAUCAUUUACAUAAUGCUUUAUGCGCGCACUCUUGGACGACAAAGUACCGGUACUGGAUUAAAGCAAGCGAAACAAGGAAAGUAGCUAGGGGUUUCAAUUAGCUAGAACUAGCUAGCACUAUAUAUAUAUAUGUAAUGUAUGAGAAAGGAUAAAUUUCUUGAUCAGGGGCUUUCUUGAUCUCCUGCCAAUCAGACAAUAAUAUUGUCAGCUUCUAGAUGGGAGAUUUUAAUAUGAAAGCUCUCUAGCUAGCUCUCCUGCAUGCAUGUAUUUAAUUAGGUAUUGAUGGAUAUAGGUUUAGUACUUGUCUUGUAUCUGGUUAUAAACUGAAUACUUCUCUUAUAUGGAUUAAUGU